rnacentral:rRNA from 1 species
UCCGUAGGUGAACCUGCGGAAGGAUUAUUA